GAUGAACGCUGGCGGCGUGCCUAAUACAUGCAAGUCGAGCGAACAGACGAGGAGCUUGCUCCUCUGACGUUAGCGGCGGACGGGUGAGUAACACGUGGAUAACCUACCUAUAAGACUGGGAUAACUUCGGGAAACCGGAGCUAAUACCGGAUAAUAUAUUGAACCGCAUGGUUCAAUAGUGAAAGACGGUUUUGCUGUCACUUAUAGAUGGAUCCGCGCCGCAUUAGCUAGUUGGUAAGGUAACGGCUUACCAAGGCAACGAUGCGUAGCCGACCUGAGAGGGUGAUCGCCCACACUGGAGCUGAGACACGGUCCAGACUCCUACGGGAGGCAGCAGUAGGGAAUCUUCCGCAAUGGGCGAAAGCCUGACGGAGCAACGCCGCGUGAGUGAUGAAGGUCUUCGGAUCGUAAAACUCUGUUAUUAGGGAAGAACAAAUGUGUAAGUAACUAUGCACGUCUUGACGGUACCUAAUCAGAAAGCCACGGCUAACUACGUG
rnacentral:rRNA from 1 species